CUCCUUUGACGUUAGCGGCGGACGGGCGAGUAACACGUGGGUAACCUACCUAUAAGACUGGGAUAACUUCGGGAAACCGGAGCUAAUACCGGAUAAUAUUUCGAACCGCAUGGUUCGAUAGUGAAAGGUGGUUUUGCUAUCACUUAUAGAUGGACCCGCGCCGUAUUAGCUAGUUGGUAAGGUAACGGCUUACCAAGGCGACGAUACGUAGCCGACCUGAGAGGGUGAUCGGCCACACUGGAACUGAGACACGGUCCAGACUCCUACGGGAGGCAGCAGCC
rnacentral:rRNA from 1 species